rnacentral:rRNA from 1 species
GACGAACGCUGGCGGCGUGCUUAACACAUGCAAGUCGAACGGUGAAGGGAUCAGCUUGCUGGUUCUGGAUGAGUGGCGAACGGGUGAGUAACACGUGAGUAACCUGCCCCCUUCUUCUGGAUAACCGCAUGAAAGUGUGGCUAAUACGGGAUAUUCUGCGCCUGCUGCAUGGUGGGUGUGGGAAAGAUAUUGUUUCGGUGGGGGAUGGGCUCGCGGCCUAUCAGCUUGUUGGUGGGGUGAUGGCCUACCAAGGCGGUGACGGGUAGCCGGCCUGAGAGGGUGGACGGUCACACUGGGACUGAGACACGGCCCAGACUCCUACGGGAGGCAGCAGUGGGGAAUAUUGCACAAUGGGCGCAAGCCUGAUGCAGCGACGCCGCGUGAGGGAUGGAGGCCUUCGGGUUGUGAACCUCUUUCGCCAGUGAAGCAGGCCUGUCCCGUGUGGGUGGGUUGACGGGAGCUGGAUAAGAAGCGCCGGCUAACUACG